rnacentral:rRNA from 1 species
GACGAACGCUGGCGGCGUGCUUAACACAUGCAAGUCGAACGGAAAGGCCCUGCUUUUGUGGGGUGCUCGAGUGGCGAACGGGUGAGUAACACGUGAGUAACCUGCCCUUGACUUUGGGAUAACUUCAGGAAACUGGGGCUAAUACCGGAUAGGAGCUCCUGCUGCAUGGUGGGGGUUGGAAAGUUUCGGCGGUUGGGGAUGGACUCGCGGCUUAUCAGCUUGUUGGGGGGGUAGUGGCUUACCAAGGCUUUGACGGGUAGCCGGCCUGAGAGGGUGACCGGCCACACUGGGACUGAGAUACGGCACAGCCUCGUACGCGACGCAGCAGUGGAGAAUAGUGCACUAUGGGCGGAAGCCUGAUGCAGCAACGCCGCGUGCGGGAUGACGGGCUUCGGGUUGUAAACCAAUUUCGCUUGUGACGAAGCGUGAGUGACAGUACUGGGUAAAGAAGCACCGGCUAACUACGUG